GUACAGGACCCUGGAUGGAACAAAGACUGAAGAACACACUUUGACAGGAUUCUGGGCUGGGUUUAUUCUGACCACACAGUUAAGGUUGAAAUGGUAGAGUGAGAAGAACUAAAGAAAGGAACCACUGCAUGACUAUUAUUAUUUUUUUUUACAAAAGUUUAUUGUUAAAUGUACAACAGGCUCCAGAACAACACUUCAUUCCAACUAUAGGUGGCAAGAGAUGUUAUGACAGGGAAUCCAGAUGUUAAAACAGGAAUGG